ACCAACUGCAAUAAUACUUAUUUUCAAUUUAUCCUCAAGAUGGGAAACCCUAAAGUGGAUCGAUGACAAAGACAGAAAGAAAUCAAUCGGCCAUGAGAUCCAAGUGAUUUUGCAUGUUAGACUGCAUUUUCCAUAGGAAACAUGUAAGCACUUUGCAACAGUCUUAACAUGUGAUCUCAAUAAACCCAGAAAAACUGCUUCCAAUCUACUCAAUUAACAGGACGACGAUUAAAAUAAUCAGCAAGGAGCAGCGCAGUGAAAGAAUUGCUACAACUUGGUUAUUAUUUGAAAACUAAACUGUUUCAUUAAUUAAGCUUUUAGAUUGUCUCUGUAAGGUUGGGUACAAGCAACGAACCCUCAUCAUAACUAUUACCUUACGAUCCUUUUCCCAGCAAAAAGACAACAGAAAAGUGAAACCAUCACUGCCCAGCAACACGAGCUUGCAACCUCUUCCUUUCAAACUCAAGCUAAACGGUGCAGGGAAGGACAGAAAACAAAAAAG
rnacentral:lncRNA from 1 species